GCCGGGCGCGGUGGCGCACACCUAUAAUCCACACACUUUGGGAGGCCGAGGUGGGCGGAUCACCUGAGGUCAGGAGUUCGAGAGCAGCCUGGCCAACAUGGUGAAACCCUCUUUUUUUUUUUUAGUUUUAGUAGAGUCAGGGUUUCACCAUGUUGGCCAGGCUUGUCUCGAACUCCUGACCUCAGGUGAUCCGCCCGCCUCAG
rnacentral:SRP_RNA from 1 species